GNGCUACACAUGCAGUCGACGGUAACAGGAAGCAGCUUGCUGCUUCGCUGACGAGUGGCGGACGGGUGAGUAAUGUCUGGGAAACUGCCUGAUGGAGGGGGAUAACUACUGGAAACGGUAGCUAAUACCGCAUAACGUCGCAAGACCAAAGAGGGGGACCUUCGGGCCUCUUGCCAUCGGAUGUGCCCAGAUGGGAUUAGCUAGUAGGUGGGGUAACGGCUCACCUAGGCGACGAUCCCUAGCUGGUCUGAGAGGAUGACCAGCCACACUGGAACUGAGACACGGUCCAGACUCCUACGGGAGGCAGCAGUGGGGAAUAUUGCACAAUGGGCGCAAGCCUGAUGCAGCCAUGCCGCGUGUAUGAAGAAGGCCUUCGGGUUGUAAAGUACUUUCAGCGGGGAGGAAGGCGAUAAGGUUAAUAACCUUGUCGAUUGACGUUACCCGCAGAAGAAGCACCGGCUAACUCCGUGCCAGCAGCCGCGGUAAUACGGAGGGUGCAAGCGUUAAUCGGAAUUACUGGGCGUAAAGCGCACGCAGGCGGUCUGUCAAGUCGGAUGUGAAAUCCCCGGGCUCAACCUGGGAACUGCAUUCGAAACUGGCAGGCUAGAGUCUUGUAGAGGGGGGUAGAAUUCCAGGUGUAGCGGUUGAAAUGCGUAGAGAUCUGGAGGAAUACCGGUGGGCGAAGGCGGCCCCCUGGACAAAGACUGACGCUCAGGUGCGAAAGCGUGGGGGAGCAAACAGGAUUAGAUACCC
rnacentral:rRNA from 1 species